AUGUUAGCGGCGGACGGGUGAGUAACACGUGGGUAACCUGCCUGUAAGACUGGGAUAACUCCGGGAAACCGGGGCUAAUACCGGAUGCUUGUUUGAACCGCAUGGUUCAAACAUAAAAGGUGGCUUCGGCUACCACUUACAGAUGGACCCGCGGCGCAUUAGCUAGUUGGUGAGGUAAUGGCUCACCAAGGCGACGAUGCGUAGCCGACCUGAGAGGGUGAUCGGCCACACUGGGACUGAGACACGGCCCAGACUCCUACGGGAGGCAGCAGUAGGGAAUCUUCCGCAAUGGACGAAAGUCUGACGGAGCAACGCCGCGUGAGUGAUGAAGGUUUUCGGAUCGUAAAGCUCUGUUGUUAGGGAAGAACAAGUACCGUUCGAAUAGGGCGGUACCUUGACGGUACCUAACCAGAAAGCCACGGCUAACUACGUGCCAGCAGCCGCGGUAAUACGUAGGUGGCAAGCGUUGUCCGGAAUUAUUGGGCGUAAAGGGCUCGCAGGCGGUUUCUUAAGUCUGAUGUGAAAGCCCCCGGCUCAACCGGGGAGGGUCAUUGGAAACUGGGGAACUUGAGUGCAGAAGAGGAGAGUGGAAUUCCACGUGUAGCGGUGAAAUGCGUAGAGAUGUGGAGGAACACCAGUGGCGAAGGCGACUCUCUGGUCUGUAACUGACGCUGAGGAGCGAAAGCGUGGGGAGCGAACAGGAUUAGAUACCCUGGUAGUCCACGCCGUAAACGAUGAGUGCUAAGUGUUAAGGGGGUUUCCGCCCCCUUAGUGCUGCAGCUAACGCAUUAAGCACUCCGCCUGGGGAGUACGGUCG
rnacentral:rRNA from 1 species